UUUUUUUAAAGUAAUCUCUGUACCCAGUGUGGGGCUCAAACUCAUCACCCUGAGAUCAGGGGUCACAUGCUCCACCCACCGAGCCAGUCAGGCCCCUUCUC